UGGGAAGGAUCAUUAUUGGAUAGCAAGAGGCUGUCGCUGGCCCCCUCUUGGGGGGUAAAGUGCACGUCUCUUCCUUUAUCUCCCACCUGUGCACUGAUUUGUAGACCCCUUUGGUGUCUAUGAUAUCACAUACAAGAAUGUAUUAGUUUUGUGUAUUAUAAAACAAAAAGUACAACUUUCAACAAUGGAUCUCUUGGCUCUUGCAUCGAUGAAGAACGCAGCGAAAUGCGAUAAGUAAUGUGAAUUGCAGAAUUCAGUGAAUCAUCGAAUCUUUGAACGCAUCUUGCGCUCCUUGGCAUUCCGAGGAGCAUGCCUGUUUGAGUGUCAUUAAUCUCUCAAAACAUUUGUUUUGGAUUUUGGGGGGGUCAUUGCUGGCUGGUUGGAGCCAGCUCUCCUUAAAAGUAUGGGAUAUGAACGGCCUUCUCCACUCAUUGGUAUGAUAAUUUAUCUAUGCCAGGGUAGUGAAGGGGAAAAGGCUUUGUUGACCAAAUUGACCUCAAAUCAGGUAGGACUACCCGCUGAACUUAAGCAAUC
rnacentral:rRNA from 1 species